AGCUUCAGAUCGGCUCCACCCCUCCCCUCUCCACUCCACAACAGCCAUGGCUGGAGGCUGAUGGAGACGUUUUUCACCUCCCCCAUUUCUAUCCUCCCGUAAAAAUCAAGUCCACCCAGCCAGAUCCCGUCUGUCACCAGUUCUGGCGGCGGCGUGCAGCACCCGGCGAUCUAAGAAACAGUACUGCUAGCAGUAGUGGCGGACAAUGGCGAGCAGCAGCGCAAGGAGCGGCGAUGCGGCUGAUGUGCGAGCUGUGGACCGGGCUGCUUGUCGAGCGGUGGCGCGUGUGGAUGGCCGAGCGACAACGCAGGUUGAAGGGUUCUAUUCUGCUGUGUUCUCCUUCUCAUGAAGGGUAAAGGAGGUGGGAGAUCCAUAUCGCUAGCUUCAUCCAAUGUCAAAUCCAUGUACCAGGCAAGCGGCCAAGAAUGCCUUCUCCCUGCCCGGCUAGAAGUUGGAUCCUUCCAAGAGGGAACCUCUCAGGAUUUUCUACGAGUCACUGUCCAAAAAGUACAUAUAUGUUUUCAUUCAUCUGAUUUUUUUAAAAAUUUGACAGAGGGAACCUCUCAGAAUUUUCUACGAGUCACUGCCCAAAAAGAUCCAAUCCAGUGAGAUGGCCGACUUCAGGGGGGUGGGAAGCAAUAUUGGAG